rnacentral:rRNA from 1 species
GACGAACGCUGGCUGCGUGCUUAACACAUGCAAGUCGAACGGUAAGGCCCUUCGGGGUGCACGAGUGGCGAACGGGUGAGUAACACGUCGGUGAUCUGCCCAGCACUUCGGGAUAAGCCUGGGAAACUGGGCCUAAUACCGGACAGGACCCUGGGAUCCAUGUCCUGGGGUGGAAAGCUUUUGCGGUGUGGGAUGCGACCGCGGCCUAUCGGCUUGUUGGUGGGGCGAUGGCCUACCAAGGCGACGACGGGUAGCCGGCCUGAGAGGGUGACCGGGCGCACUGGGACUGGGAUACGGCCCAGACUCCUACGGGAGGCAGCCGUGGAGAAUAUUGCACAAUGGGCGCAAGCCUGAUGCAGCGACGCCGCGUGAGGGGUGACGGCCUUCGGGUUGUAAACCUCUUUCAGCACCGACGAAGCGCAAGUGACGGUAGGUGCAGAAGAAGGACCGGCCAACUACGUGCCAGCCGCCGCUGUAA